rnacentral:SRP_RNA from 1 species
GCCGAGUUGAAUUGCAUGGAUGCAGUUGUGGAGCAACGUGCGGGAUGCAGGCGAUACACUGUGAGGCUCUCCACCCUCGAUGACACCAUCACCCU